ensembl:lncRNA
GAAUUUUCUUCCUAAGGAUCUUGAAUAAAAAUGACUCUGAUGAAAAACUACACGAAGAUACUACCCAGCUACUACAUGACUAUUAAAAAAACAAAAAGAUUUGUACCUUGUCACCUUGCAGUUAAUUUGUAAUGUAGCUGAUCUAAGCAAGACAAGCUAUUUAGGCUCCAUUACAGUCAAUAGACAAUGAUAUGCACCUGCAGAAGGCAUUUUCUUUUUGUCCACAUUAGAGAACAGAAAAUUGUGGUCACAGAAGCAGAGAAGUGAAGUAAAGGAGGAGGAUGCAAUCCUGAUAGGAAAGUGAAACAACCAGCCACAGGAAGAAUGCACAGAAAAUGGUUGCAUUAUGAUAAUGGUGCUAUAUUGAUUUUACAGCAUCCUGCUAAGGAAUCUUAGAAAGACUUUGACAAGAAGGUUGUCAUGUGUUCCCCUCUCCAGCAUCAAUUGUAUCAUCACUUUUGAAAGCUGCAGAGCAUUUCUACAGCAUGAAAAUGGAUUACAGCUGAAGAAGAAGAGUGCUGGCCUGUGUCACCUGCUCUAUUUUCAGUGCGGCUAAUAACUAAUGAGACUAAUAGAAACUUUCGGGUCCUUCUAACUGGGAGUGAACAUGGUAUGGAAGACAUGUCCAUCGCUACAUUUUGCCAGCAUUGAUAGCAUAUGUCCUUGCCUUGAAGUUGAACAGGACCAUGCUCAGAAAAUUUAUUUUGUUCGCAACAAUUGUAAAUCAGCCCUGUAGACUGUCUCAUCGUAUAAUCCUACCAGCACAACUCUGAGUACAACCAAGGAGGAAGAAGGCAAGAAGCAGGUGUAGAAACUGUGGAAGAAUGCCCUGGUAUACUUUGUCUCAAUUUUUGAUGAUCCUAGUUGUUUUACCUCCAGCAUCUUGGGCUGCAGUACUACCUCUACUAUCUUUCAAAUGAUCUGCUUUUCAUCGGCAAAGAAAAAAUAUGUUUACGGUGCAAAAAGCUUAGAAAAGAGUUUGAAAGUAUAUUUAGCUAAGCAAUUCACAACUGUUUUGUCUUGCUGUACUCAGUAAUUAUCACUUAGAAACAAAACAAACGUUGCUUGUGCGCCUUAAGGUGAACUCCUGAGCCAAUUAGCAUACAGCAUUUUUAUCAUGCUUACUGAUUUCACUGGCAUAACACAUGACAUGAACUUAGCAUAAGUUAGAGCACUACUGGAAAGAGGGUAUAACAUUGGAUCAGGAGUGAGUUUUAACAAAGAAAGGCUACUUUACAGGUAUAUAAUCAUAUACAUAAUUGUGCUAAAGCAAAGAGUUGCAAUAACAUUGAAGAAAGGAUAAAGAAAAUGGAAGAUGUGCUAAUCAAAAGUCAAGGGGAUAAAGGAAGGUAAGAAAGUGAGAUGAUGAAGUGAGAAACAGGAAAAAAAAAAAGGUUAAAAAGAUGGAUUGUAACUUUGUAGUGUUGUAUAAUGGAGUAAAAAUGGAAAGGAAAAGGAAUUUUUAACAGCUUGAAUUUAAAGCCACAUGUAUAAAUUUACUUUUUAUGAGAGCGGCAAACAACAGCUGAGCCUUAUGGGUUAGUAAAUGUUGCUAUGUAAAAUCAAAAUUCCUUUGUAAUUUUGCUGACUUAUUUAAUAAAAUUAAUCUGAAUUUCUCUGAUAGUAUUUAA